rnacentral:lncRNA from 1 species
UGGCUAAUUUGCAGCCGCUAUCCCUCCAGCUAAAAAAUGUCUAGACAGGGAGGCUCCUGACACAAAUAGAGACAUUAAUGAUUAACAUGAAAUUCAUCUUUACAUCAGUAGCAGGAUAAUGGAAGUUUAUAGGAAUAAAAGGCCCGUUGUCAUUUGGCAGUUUGUGAGGAUGAGCACAUCAUAUUUUAAGGUUUAGGGUCUUUAGACACAUACUCCCUUAGUAUACUAAGGACCUGGAGGCAAUCUUGCCAGACUUCCUCUGCAGGCAUCUUUAAUUUUCUUGUAUCAUAAAUUUUUAUCUUACAUUCUAUACAAGGGGGAAUCACUGAGCUGAUGAGUGAGCCUAACCAUUUGCCCGACACCAUUGCAGAAACUGGUUAUUUUACCAAGGCUUUGACUGGAAUAGUGUGCUUCCCUUUAAGGAAUCAAACUUGACUUUUGGAGCUAAUAAAAGCCCCUUGGGAAAACUGCUCUCUUACCUUGUCUACACAGUCUCUGGACAGAGUUCCUGACCUGUGGGGAGAAGGAAGAAACAAUACAAGAAUUGGCCCCAGGAAAUAUUUAUUCUAAAUCCGGCACAUGCAAAACCCCGAGAUAGCCAUCAAGGACAAAAAUCGUCACUGGGAGGUGGGAAGCCCUGAAGGAAAAGCACUAGUCUUGGUGUCAGAAGACCUAUGCUUGUGUUUUCACGCUGACAGGACAUGUGUAUCUCAACAAGUAUCUUCAUCUUCUGAACCUAUUUCCUCAUCUAUAAAAGGUCACUAACACCCAUUUUGAAAAACCACAUGUAGGUUAGGAGGAUUCAAUGUAUGUGAAAGAGUUCUUCAAACUCCUAAGCACUUGCUGUGCUGAUGGUAAAGGUGAUAAUGAGGAGGAAGGAGUGUCUGCUAUGGGAAAACCACUGUCCUAAAACUUUUAAAUACAUUGUUAAUUAAUCUGCACCAAUAAGUCUACGAAUUAGAUUCUAUCAUAAUCUCAAUUUUACAGAUGAGGUUCAGAGAGAUGACAAAUUUUCCCCAAUAUCACACAGUCAUUUUAAUGGUGGAACAGAAAUUUUAACCCAAAUCUAUCUGGCUCCAUAGUUAACACUCUUAACUACCAUAUUAUAUGGCCCCAAUCUAACUCCCUUAUCUUUGGGAAAUACUUUUAUUUAUAGGUCAAUGACACAGAGUUACAGAUCCUGGGUACAGCCUGGGUCUGUAACUUACUCAAUGUAUAAUGCUGGGUAAGUCUUAACCUCUCUGUGCCUCAUCUGUUAAAUGAAAGAGUUGAACUCUAGGAUCUCUCAAGUUCAUUCCCUUUGAGUUCAUCUAACAUUAUACGGUCUUCGUUCUUGUUGGUACAAUAGUUUAUUAGGUAAUUGUUUAUUAGAUAAUUAACAGUCCAUGUCACCUUGGCUAUCUGCCAAAUGAAUAGAAGCACACUACAGAUAUUAGAGAGGGAGGGUUGAAGGGAAAAGAUUUCCAAGGGCUUUGGCAGGUGGAGAAGGCUUUUUGGAGAGGAUAGGCCUGAACCGUUUCACCAUUAAAAGCACUUUUAUUAUUUUUCUCCAUAGUCACUAUAUUUACAAAGAUUUUAUGUUUACUUAACAUUGUGUCAUGGUCUGGCAAAAGAGAGCAUCUGCAGCCCCUCCAGGAAAGAAGAGAAAUCCUGUAAUCCCUAGAGAGAGUCAGGCAGGAGGACAAAAUUAGUGGCUGCAUGCUUACUGCAGACCAGCACGGUAUGAGAACAGUAUUUUGUCAUCAGCUGUGAGUCAGCUAAAAGUUGAAGCCAAAUGUUCAAGCAUUGUUAGGAGUUGAGUCUUUUCUUUGAUGAAGCAUAUGGGAGCCUCAUUCAUCCACACUUUCCUUGCCUCCACAUCCUUGCCAUUAUGGGAAUGGCAUAUAAGCCAGUGAUGCUCAACCAGAAGUGACUUUGUCCCUUAUGAACUAUAGGCGAUAUCCGAAGACAGACUAAAUGCCAUGACUUGGCUGGGGAGGAAGUGGGAGCUUGUUCCUGAUAUCUAGUGGAUAGAGGCCAACAAUACUUAGGGCAGGCUCCCCACCCUCCAUCCCCAGCAACAGAGAAGUAUCUGGUCCAAAAUUUCAAUAGUGCUGAGGCUGAAAAACUCUGAUACAAGGGAACAGCAGUUACAACAAAGAAAAAGAAAGCCAACUCACCAAGAGCAGCUGUAAAUAGAAACAUCUUAUUUUUACUUUCUCCUCUCCUCCCCAGCAUUAAAAGGAAUAGAAAGGAAAGCACUUGGAAUCCCCAGGACAGCUUGUGGAAGGUUUUGGGGUAGUGUGGGUGGAGCUUUAAACUGAAUAUGAGAUUGAUUUUUAAAAUAACUUCUUAUUUUGAAACAGUUUAAGACUCACAAGAGUUGCAAAAAUUAUAGUAUAAAGUCCCCAUAUACUCUUUAGCUAACUUCUUCCAAUAAUAAUGUUAUAUAACCAUAGUAAAUGGCCAAAACCAGAAAAGUGACUGUGAUGCAAUAAUACUGUUAACUCAGGUGCAGAUAUUAUUUGGAUUUCACCAGGAUAUACGUGCACUCUUUUUGUCUAUUUGUUUUGGUAUAUAGUUCUGUGACAUUUUAUCACAUGGCUAGACUCAAGUACCCAUCACCAUAAUCAAGAUACAGAACUGCUCCAAAUCCACAAAGAAACUCUCUCAUGUGUUACCCCUUAAUAGGCGCACGCUUCCUUCAACCCCAGUCUCUAAUAAACACUGAUCUGUUCUUUAUUACUGUAAUUUAGUCAUUCCAAUAAUUGUAUAUAAAUAUAAUUUUACAGUAUAUUGCCCUUUGAGGUUUUGUUUACUGUUUUAUUUUUCAUUCAGCAUAAUGCACUUGAGUCAUCUAAGUUGUUGUAUGUAUCAAUAGUUUAUUCCUUAUUACUGAUGAAUAGGAGCCCAUUGUAUGGAUGUACCAAAGUUUAUUUAACAAUUUACUUGUUGAAGGAUAUCUGGAUUAUUUCCAUUUCUUGGCUGUUAUAAAUAAAGCUGCUAUGAGCUUUUGUGUUCAUCUUUUUGUGUGAACAUAAGUUUUCAUUUCUUUAGGAGAAAUGCCCAGGAAUGUGAUUGCUGGAUCAUUCAUAUGGAUGUCUUCAGGGCCAUGCAUCCAGAGCUUGACAUUGUGCAGUUGUACCUGAAGCCACUGCUCAUUGGAGAACUUGCCCCAGGAGAGCCCAGCCAGGAAAGACACAAAAAUCUUACAUUUGCCUGACUCUUGAAAUAAUUUUUAUAACGUGUGGAUCCAUAGACCCCUGUGAAGCAGAGGGAGCAAGGAUUUUAUUCUCUCUUAAAAAAAUGAAGAAACAGACUCACAAAGGGAGCAGGACUAAUCUGAGGACACAGAACUGGUUAUGGGCAAAUCUGAGACUAAUAGGCUCAGAGCUCAUUUUUGCAGCAUGACGCGGGGCACCUUUCCAUAUUUAGGAAGUCCAAGUGGAACCACGUGGUGCAUAAAUUUGUGAUGUGCCAUCUCAAGAAACAGUCUUUCCAUAAUCAAAAUGAAGACUCAGAAUCAAUAAGAAAAAUAUUUAAUCGUUGAAGUAUUAAGAAGAUGGAAAUAAAUCACAUCAUCACUAAGUUGCAAGGGCCUGUCAGCAGACCGGUGGAAUUACUGGCACUUUGAACAACACGUAAAGCCGAACAUCUACCCCAAAGACCCAGAUAUUGACACGGACCCACUUUUUCUCCUUGGAGAUUCACAACCUGUCAAGGUACACUUAGAAAUCUUGAGCACCGAGGAAAUGUUCCUGGAAGUGGUUCGUGGAAAGGCUUACAGCCUUGCCUUGGAAAGAUCAAGCUGGAAAUUCUGGCUUCACACACAAUCUGAGAACAUCUCUCCUUCUUUUAGGUUCAAAAUACAGAUUUGAAAUAACUGAAUCUGGGGCUGUAAGAAUACAAGGCGAUUUAGAGCCGUAACCAUUAAGUCUAUGACCUUACAGAUCAUCCAGUCCAACCUCCCACGGCAGGAAAUAUGGAAAUCCACAUUACUCUGAGCAAUCCCAGUGACAGAUGGGUCCCUGCCCAGUGCCUGUCAUUUCCUCUGAGGCAAUACAAGCCAAUGUUAGAUCGUGGAACCAGAUGACUGAAGUUGCAAUGACUGUCUGAGGUUUAAACAGGGCAUGGAGAAACAUUCACUGAGAGAAUAUAGGUCAAUAUAUUCAAUAAGCACUAGGUCACAUACGUUCACAUAGCUAGUUAUCUCAACUAAUUCUAGCCCAGUUAGAAAAGACUAUGCUGUUAUAUUUAGUUCAUGUUCAUUUUGGUGCAUUUACACAUGAACUACAGCCCAAAUGCCAUGGAAGAGAUCUACAGGUCUCACCUCUAAUUUGAGCUUCUUAAACAACAGAAAAAAGGAGGGGGAAAACCAUCUUCAGAAUUUCUCAGUUAAUUAUUACUUUUUAAAACUCCAACUUAUUUCUGAGGGCUCUGUUCUGUUCCAUUGAUCUAUAUCUCUGUUUUGGUACCAGUACCAUGCUGUUUUGGUUACUGUAGCCUUGUAGUA